UGGCAGACGGCUGAGUAAUACAUGGGAAUCUACCUCAAACUCGAGAAUAGCCCAUCGAAAGGUGGUGUAAUACUCGAUAGUUCCGUUUACGGUAAAGCUCCGGCGGUUUGAGAUGAGCCCAUGUCCUAUCAGGUUGUUGGUGGGGUAAUUGCCUACCAAGCCUAUGACGGGUAGCUGGUUUGAGAGGAUGAUCAGCCAGACUGGGACUGCGAUACGGCCCAGACUCCUACGGGAGGCAGCAACUAGGAAUCAUGCGCAAUGGACGAAAGUCUGACGCUGCGACGUCGCGUGAGGGAUGAAGGUCUUCGGAUCGUAAACCUCUUUUAUCUGGGAACAAGUUCUGAGUGUACCAGAUGAAUAAGUGCCUGCCAACCACGUGCCAGAAGCAUCGGUAAUGCGUGGGGCACGAGCGUUAUCCGGAUUUACUGGGCGUAAAGAGAUGCGUAGGCGCCUUUUUAAGUCACUUGUAAAAUCUCCCCGCUCAACGGGGAAACUGCAAGUGAUACUGAAUUGGUUGAGUCAAGUAGAGGAGAGGGGAAUUCCUGGUGGAGCGGUUAAAUGCGUUGAUAUCAGGAGGAAUACCAAGUGCGAAGGCACCUCUCUGGACUUGUACUGACGCUAAGGCUCGAAAGUGUGGGGAGCAAAACGGAUUAGAUACCCGUGUAGUCCACACUGUAAACGAUCCCUGCUAGAUGUU
rnacentral:rRNA from 1 species